CUUUUUCUUGUUCUUUUCUUUCUUACCUUCCCAAUCUUUUUUUCUUUACAGGCUGAGUUUUGACUUCCUAACGUAACAUGCAAUUGUGAAUAAAUAUCAGAAAAGUACUUCUUUUAAAAAAAUCUGAUUUCCUUUUUAGUGCAAGCUUCAGUCUGUUCUACAAGACCAUGUGGUAACGAGGAAUGAUAUAGUUAGUUGCUUA
rnacentral:lncRNA from 1 species